GACGAACCGUGCGAACGUUGUUCGGAAUUACUGGGCGUAAAGCGUGCGUAGGUGGUUUGUUAAGUCUGUUGUGAAAGCCCCGGGCUCAACCUGGGAAUGGCAAUGGAUACUGGCAAGCUAGAGUGCGGUAGAGGGUAGUGGAAUUCCCGGUGUAGCGGUGAAAUGCGUAGAGAUCGGGAGGAACACCAGUGGCGAAGGCGGCUACCUGGACCAGCACUGACACUGAGGCACGAAAGCGUGGGGAGCAAACAGG
rnacentral:rRNA from 1 species